rnacentral:rRNA from 1 species
AGGACGAACGCUGGCGGCGUGCUUAACACAUGCAAGUCGAGCGGAAAGGCCCUUCGGGGUACUCGAGCGGCGAACGGGUGAGUAACACGUGAGCAACCUGCCCUUAGCUCUGGGAUAGCUCCGGGAAACCGGAAUUAAUACCGGAUAUGACCUAGGCCGACAUCGGCCGUGGUGGAAAGGUUUUUCGGCUAGGGAUGGACUCGCGGCCUAGUCAGCUAGUUGGUGGGGUAAUGGGCCUACCAAGGCGACGACGGGUA